UACGAAGGGGGCUAGCGUUGCUCGGAAUCACUGGGCGUAAAGGGUGCGUAGGCGGGUCUUUAAGUCAGGGGUGAAAUCCUGGAGCUCAACUCCAGAACUGCCUUUGAUACUGAGGAUCUUGAGUACGGGAGAGGUGAGUGGAACUGCGAGUGUAGAGGUGAAAUCCGUAGAUAUUCGCAAGAACACCAGUGGCGAAGGCGGCUCACUGGUCCGUAACUGACGCUGAGGCACGAAAGCGUGGGGAGCAAACAGG
rnacentral:rRNA from 1 species